ensembl:lncRNA
UAUAUAUAAACAUAAUAUAUAUAUAUAUAUUAUAUUAUAUAUAUAAUAUACAUUAUAUAUAUAAUAUAUAUAUAUAUAUAUAUAUACUAUAUAUAUAUAUAUAUAUAUAUAUAUAUAUAUCUAAUAUAUAUAUAUAUAUCUAUAUAUUAUAUUAUAUUAUAUAUAUAAUAUACAUUAUAUAUAUAAUAUAUAUAUAUUAUGUUUAUGUUUUUAUUAGUAUUACUGUACUAAUCGGUAAAGUCGCAAGACUUGUAUACAGGUGGUCCCCGGUUCGAAUCCCCGUUAGGGCAAAUAAGCAUCCAGUGUGGGUCCUUGGGCAAGACCCUUCAAGCUACCGCCUACCUCAUAUCAUGAGAGACAGUGAACCACAUGAGAUACCGGCUCAGACGUCGCCCGGUCUAACAAGGUCUGCGUCAGGUGUUGGGGAACCAGAGCACCUUGACGAGAAAUGGGCUACUGGAACAAGAAAGAAAUGGCUGAGAUGCGAGAACAAGGCUCUGUUGGAAUGCUACUACUCAAGUAACCCUAGUCAGAGGGGUUACAUGAAUAGAAUGUGUGGCGAAUGGGAACGGAGAAACCCACAUUCAAGACUGACGGCGAAGCAACUAGUAGCUCAGUGUUCCAACAUCCACAAACGGCAACUGCUAUCACAACUUGAGAUUGAAGAGAUACAACACAAAUGCUACGGCAAGGGGGAGCCAGGACGCCAGGUCAGAGGGGAGGUUUCACCAUCUCCCCAACCGGAAAUUGGGUACGAAGCCCCAAUAAGCACAGAUACGCUGAGCGAGGCAGCGACUGACCUGAAAGAUAAGAUCAUGGCGAGACUGAACAGGCAACCCCGAACCCCACUACAACGGCUAAGUGAAGUACCAUCAGAAAGUCUCAUGGAAGAUGUGAAUGCAGCAUUGAGAGUGAUCCCUACCACAACAAUCACAGAAACCAAUGAGCUGGUAUACGCUUCAGCAUCAGUGAUCCUAGAGGUGCUUGGCUAUAAGAGCAACCAUGGGAGCCAUGAGAAACAAUACCCACCAUGGAAACGAAGGUUGGAGGCAAAAAUCAAGGCAGCUCGGAGGGAAGUGAGCCAAAUGACAGAGGCCCAGAGAGGUGCAAUGAAAAGACCGAUGCCCAAGAGGUACAGCCAGAUGCCCAUACCCGAAGCACUCGAAACUGCCAAGCAAAGGCUACAAGCCUUGGCCAGCCGCCUAAAGAGAUACACCAGAGAUAACGAAGCCAGACGAAUAAACCGGCUGUUCACAACACAACCCGCGAAAGUGUACUCUCAAUGGCAGGGUAAUAACAACAGAGCAGACCCACCAAGGCUGGAAACUGAACAGUACUGGAAAGGGAUAUGGGAGAGGGAGGCAUCACACAACAGUGAUGCACAGUGGCUGGUGGAUCUGAGGGAAGACCACAGCAACCUCCCUGAACAGAACCCAGUGACUAUCACAUCCAACAAAGAGUCUCAGGUAUGAAAAACUGGACAGCACCUGGCCCUGACAUGAUCCACGCCUACUGGCUAAAGAAGCUCACUGCAAUCCACGAGCGCCUGGCAGCACAAAUGAACCAGCUGCUAAGGGAUGGGACUCACCCUGAAUGGCUAACCGAAGGGCGAACGAUCCUGAUAAUGAAGGAUCCCUCAAAGGGUGCAGUCCCACCCAACUACCG